UAACACCUCAUUUCUUUGUUGUUUUCUCCAGGAGAGUCUCUUUGUUAGACGUUCCCCGGUGGAGUGUCCGUUGUGAUUUUUACCCUUUUGCUGUAUUGGUGUAGCCCAAUAUAUGCAAUUCUUCCCCGGCAGGGAGGUUCUGUGUGAAUCUUUUUCCCUAGUUCGAGUCCAGAUUUUUAUCUGAAGUAUCCUUUGUGGAUAGUUUGAGUCAGCUUGAGUCCUUCCAAUAGAUGUGUCUUCCUUUGAAUCAUUUUCUCCCC
rnacentral:lncRNA from 1 species